AAACUUUGUUUAGCCACUUAAAG
rnacentral:piRNA from 1 species